rnacentral:rRNA from 1 species
GACGAACGCUGGCGGCGUGCCUAAUACAUGCAAGUAGAACGCUGAAGGAGGAGCUUGCUUCUCCGGAUGAGUUGCGAACGGGUGAGUAACGCGUAGGUAACCUGCCUGGUAGCGGGGGAUAACUAUUGGAAACGAUAGCUAAUACCGCAUAACAGUAGAUAUUGCAUGAUAUCUGCUUGAAAGGUGCAAUUGCAUCACUACCAGAUGGACCUGCGUUGUAUUAGCUAGUUGGUGGGGUAACGGCUCACCAAGGCGACGAUACAUAGCCGACCUGAGAGGGGGAUCGGCCACACUGGGACUGAGACACGGCCCAGACUCCUACGGGAGGCAGCAGUAGGGAAUCUUCGGCAAUGGACGGAAGUCUGACCGAGCAACGCCGCGUGAGUGAAGAAGGGUUUCGGAUCGUAAAGCUCUGUUGUAAGAGAAGAACGAGUGUGAGAGUGGAAAGUUCACACUGUGACGGUAUCUUACCAGAAAGGGACGGCUAACUACGUG